AAGGAGGACACAGAGCCAUCUGUAGUGUGGAGAAACCUGAGCUGCUUUCUGCACUGAUGAUACUAAUGCUAUGCCAAAUGUGAGCAUGAGGAGGAAAAAAGGACAGCUGAGGAUUUGGCUCUACUCCUGAUUUCUGACUGCUGAACUCACUCUGACACAGCAGUUAACAGAAACAGGAUGUCAAUAAACACAUGAUGAAAUCUCCAGUUCUCACAGGUCUCUUCCUCCUGAGGAAUCUCAUUUAAGUAAACCUGCAAGGCUACUUUGCAAGAAAAGGAGACUGAAUAAAACAGUGGGAGACACAAGAAGAGACAAAUAAUCAAGGAAGGACUUCUUUCUUUUAUUAUCAUUCUGUUGUCAUCCAGCUUAGCUGUUCAGCUCCUAAAGUCAAAGGACCCAAAAUCCUAGGAUUAUUCAAGUUGGAAAAGACCUUCAGAUGUCAUCGAGUCCCAUCAUAUGUGUCCUCCUGUAUAUGUGUCCUGUACUCCAUACAGACAUUCUCUUGACCUAUCCAUGGCAAUCUCUGAAGAAAACAUUCUUGAUAUUAGGUGUCAUGUUAUGUGCAUAUUGCAAUUAUUUCCAUCUCUUCCAUCUGAGGUAUAAUCCUGAGGAUUUUCCUGCUCUGAUGAAGUUGCACAAUACCUCUGAUCUGGGGAUGCCUUGGACUUGGAUUAGAGCCUUUGUCUUUUCCUUGUCUCUGCUUCUGCUGACGACUCAAACAUUCUGAGAGUCCUUGAGGUCUAGCGAAGAUGAUGGAAUUAUUAAAACCAAAAGCUAGUCAAAGACAACUUGAAAUAGAACUCAGGCACAUGAAUAAAUGAAUUAUACAGGAUUACAACUUUUGGGAAUUAAUUCAUGCUAUUCCAGAAAGCUCUAGUUCAGCAGAGGUGGCAAAAGGAAUAAUAGGUUCUAAAGGCACCAGAUGUUGGCUGUGAGUCUUCCAGUGAUUCCAGGACACAUCUGGAAUCACAGUUCCAUUGAUUUCAUUGAAACAAGCAACACAUUUCUCUUCUAGAGUUCCAGCAUUUGAAUGAAAGAACUGGAAUAAGGUUCGAUCUGAGUUAUUUUAUAGUUUUAGACAGGAAUUAAACCUUUACAAAUGUUAAGGAAUGUUAUCUGUUUAACUGAAUCACACCAAGCCCUUUUUGCGCAUUUUAAUUAUCCUAUGUUUUCAGUAGAUGGCAGAAACUGAAGAAGCUGAGAUCAUGUGGAAUUCAGGACACUUUGUAAAACUGGGAGCUUAUAAAACCACUGCUUCCUACCAAGUCCUGCUAAUAGUCCAGAUUGCCUUUCUCCAGCACUCCUUAUUGAGAACAAGAUUAUUAGCAAUGAGUCUGUUUUCAAGCAUGUUUGCAGUAUGUACACACAUAUUUUUCCAGAUGUGAAAUAAUUCCUUUCCAAUGUAAGGUCAGAUGACCACAGCACUAGUUUGCAGUGUGAAUCCUGUACCAAAUAUGAAAUGCUGCUUGGUAUCUCUUCCUCACUGAUUCCAUUGUACCGUCCACAAGAUGCAUCUCAUGGUUGGCUUUGUUUGAGCAUAAACUAUUCCAUAGUAUGCCUCAUUAAAUUUUGCCUUAGCUGCAAAAGUGUGUGAAGAGGAAACAUGGUUCCAUGACUUGCAUAUGUGAAUGCAAUUGAUGGGUUCAGCCUGAUCCUCUUGAUUUAUGUUACAAAGUUCACACAGGAACAAUUAGGAACAGAAAGAGGAACUUUGUUGUUCCACUUUACAUACAUCCAGUUUUUAAGUUAGUGACAUUUUGGUUUCAUGAUCUUGAGUAGAGGCUCAAAAAAGUGCAGCAAACCCCUUUCCUCCUCCUUUUCUGCAGCUGAGUUUCUACAGUGGGUGAGGAGCCAUGGUCACAACAGUUUUUUUUCCUUUGAAUCUUUAUUAUUAUUAUUCAUGACAUUAUACUGACAUCACUGUCACUCCCAUCAUGCCGGGGGGGAUACGGCUAGAUUAAAAAGCCAUCUUGUCUGUCCUCUGUCUGCACUGAAAGUAGCAGCUUUGAGAAGAAAUUACAAUAUGAGUCUAUUAAAGAGUAUCGGGUUGUAACUUUGCUAAAAGCAAUGAAAUUUCACUCCCUUUUUCCUUAGUGCUUUGUAAUUUAUUCUCAUCAGAGAAUAUCCUUGAUUCUGGGGCUAGGAGCGUACACGGAGUUCACACAAAUUGUCUUUGAAGUAAACUUGUUUCUGCAUCUCAGAUGAAGAGCUGAGAUAGUGUUAAGAAGAACAAAGAGUCCUCCCAGUACUUCCCUCCCUUCCAUGCCUUGUAGUGAGAUCAAAGAUCCCCGAAGUGUUACAAUGGUUUAUAGUCGAGGGAAAGGCAAAUCUUCAACUCCUCCUGCAGAGGUCUUUCCCUGAUUCUGGGCCACCUUCUGCGUGCAGGUUGGCAUGAUUUGUAGAGUAGGGUGCUCCCAGAAGUGUCCUUAACUCUUUGAUCCCUGACUACUCUGACUUGACUUUUUUGGCAGACUUGUACUCUGUACCUGGCUCCCCAGCUACAGUGCAGUGUGUCGUCUUCAGCAGACGAUCAGCUGAUGCCUGAGGCUUUGUUUUCCCACUGAUAAGCAGAAGGCAUUUGGUUAAGUUAAAUAUAAACAAGGAAGAUUUUCUUGGGCUAUAAAGGAUUAGUCACAGCCUGGGAGGAAGUUUCUUGUUGGUCAUCCACUGAAAUGUAUCUUCUGUUAUUGCAGUGGGAUCUCCUGGGAGUAACACUGCCCUUCUGCCAGCUGAUCCACAACUCCAUUCUCCUUUAUGCAUUUGCAUAAGAGGAUUAAAAAAAAGAAAUUCCACCUUGCUUCAGAAGACUCCAGCUACUCAUCUGUGCCACCUCAGUGCCACUCUCACCCCGAAGUUAAGCUCUUUUUGCAUAGGCAUAAUAAACUCUAGCUUGGACUUCUUCUCCCAGAGCCAUCACCUCCUCCCUGCUGCUUUGAUGACUUGCCCCAUCAGAGCUCUGCUGGCUCCUACUCAGCCAGGUGAUACAUCCUGCCUACUGCAAGCAGUCUGUGGGAACCCAGCACCACUGACAGAACUGGUCAACAGGAGCCCACUGCUCCAUGCCUUUUCAGCUAUGAUUCUAUUACUCUAAUAAUUGUAUUCUGAUAACUUCCGAAGUACAGAAUUUCACACACAAUAGCUGUGAAAAUCUAUUGGUUCACUUCAUUAUAGUGUUUUUCUUGAAGAGACAAAAAUACUUCUUCCAACCCAAAAUGCUUUUUUCAACUCAAGAAUUUCUCACAAGUAGAUUGAGCUGGAGCUAGUUAGGAAAUACUCAUUUUAUAGUUAAGUCCUCAAACAACCAAUCUCCUAAUUUUAUUUAUGCAAUUUUAUCUCCCUUCUUGAAAACAGUAAUGUUAAAAUGUCAAACUAUUUGAAGCAUUCUAUAAAAGAAAAGAAAGAGAUGAAACUAAGUCUCUGGUCUGCUUAAGAGUAGCUGUUUCUAGGAGAAAAAAAGGGAUGUGAUUUAGUUGGAAUGGUUGAGAUGUAUUUGACUAGAAGACUUUUUCCAACCUUGAUUCUAUGAAAAUCAAAUGAAAAUGUGCAUGGAACUCUGAUUUAGAUCAAUAUAGUUGAUUAGUAUUUCACUGAUGAUUGGUAGCCACAACAUGAUAACCCAUGAAAUGACUGCAAAAAUGUUUAAAGGAAACACCUCAUUAUCACAGCUGCCAAAAAGUGGUAAAAACACUUCAGUAUUCAGUCUGAUCUUUGUUUAUUUUUAAAUGAGAUGGCAUUGGGACAGUGCUGCAUAAAGUUGCCCUAAGCCUUCCAGCAAAAGGUGGUUUUUUUUUAUUAUUAUUAUUUUUUUAUUAUUCAUAACAGUUGGAAAAACACUCUAAAUUAAAGUGCACUCAAAAGUCCAGCUGUUGAGCGGAUUGUGUCACCUGAAGUCUUGGAAAAUACAGUGCAAGGCUAUCUGAGAAUCAGCAGAGAAAGAAACUCAGGAUUGAUCUUGAAAUUGGGAGUCAGUAUGCAAACAGGACAGCAAACGAGGAUGGACCAAAAAAGCCCCUCCAAACUGGAUGUGAAGCUGUCAUAAAGUAGCAGUUAUAGGAAGACUAUAACAACAGUGACUAUAUAUUGAAUAAUUUUCAUUGAAUAAUUUUCAAUAAUGGUUUUGGUGAUUUUUUUCAUUAGCAAAAUUUCACUAGGUAAUGGCCAACCAAGGUAUACGAAUUAGCAAUUAAAGUAUGCCAUUGCCAGUCUUCAACAGACAAAAAAACAAGUGUAUCUGUAAGGUGCAUACAACCAGAAAAGGAGAAGAAAACCCAUUCUUGUGGCUUGUGAAGGUAAAAGAAAACAAACUACCUGAUAUUGAAGUGCUACCAGGUUGUUGACUAGUCUCAAAGGAAAAGUUGUGAAAGCCACGGGGGCAUGAACACUUAUGGAGACUUCAAAGAAACAGCUAAAGGAUUAGGCCAUCAGCUCCUGACUCCUUAUCUGCUUUCAGACAGUGUUUCAUUUGGAAGGAGCUUACACAUAGGAACAUUUCCAGAGAUGUUUGAUAGAUAUCCAUUUUCAUCCCGAUAUUUUGUUUGUUUGUUUGUUUGUUUGUUUGUUUCUAUUCAAACUGUUCAACUGCAAGUACAAGAUCCUCCUUGCCCCUGUUUGAAAAGCUCGUGGAUUCCUGUUCCUGACAUGCAUUGACCUAGCACUCAAAUUUCAAACCCUAAGUGACAAUAUGCACAUGUGUAGUGUGGAAGGGAGAGGGACCGAGCAUGCCAUAACCAUUCCUUUUGGGUUUGCAAAAAAGCAGUGCUGGUAAGUAAAGGGAGAAAUGACAACAGUGUGCAGGCAUUACAAUCAUGAAGCCAUCAUAGCACUGGUUCAGCUGUGCUCUGUGUACUGAACAUGAGGAGUGCCAGCUCUGAAAGAGGCAGUGAGAGAGGGAGAAAUACAGCUGAUGUGGUAUGAAAUAAACAGAUGUGGGAUUUUAAGGCAUGAGCAGGUAUGGACAUCUCUGAAAGCACUUUUGUCUGGGUGAGAGCUUUGCAGAGCUUGAAGAUCAAAGUUAGGCUCUGGAGGUGGAAGAGAAGGUUGACAUUUGAAGAAGUGGGGAAAAACUCGUGAAGCAGAAGAUAAGUGGAUAAAUGUUUGCUGGGAGGGGUUGGAGCUGAGAAAUUGAAAACAAUGGAAAGUUUCCCAGGAUUAAAAGCAUCAUCCUCUGCAUGUUUCCUUGUUGCAUUCAUGCACUUGGGUGGAUCUGCUCCAGCAGGCACUUGGACGGAGCUCAUGGUUACAUAAAGGAAAGCACCUGAAACCUCUCUUUGUCAUAUGUGCACCCACACAUGCAAAAGUACAUAACCUCUCUAGACUUAAGACUUCUCCUCGUAAGUCAAGAGUUGCCACUGGACUUUCUUGUGAGGCGUCAUAAUUCCCUUCAUCUCUGUCCAGAGGUUUUGUUUGUGACAAGACUGAGGUUGCCUCACACAUUUGUGUGCUUGCCACUAGAAACAAAUGAAAAAGAAAAAAAAUCUUCUGGUGUAAGAAAGACAAUGGGCUUUAUUUAAUUCUCUGAGCCUCUUUGUUUUUCCUUCUGGCCACAUGCGUGGGCUCUGCUAGUAUCCUGCUUUCCACCAAAGCAGUUUUCCAUAGGUCCUUUUCUGCUUGCAUAAUACUUACGAAGUUCACACAGAUUUUGAACAGAGACUUUCUUUUACUCUGACUUGUACAAACCAUCCCCCACCACGUCUCCAUCCAGCUGUGCAGACACAUGCUCUGCCCUGCUUUCUCCAUGCAAAAAGCAGUCCCUGGCAGUGGGGCCUCAUGCCACAUCUGCCUUGUACAGUGAACAAUAGAGGAAAGGUCAAGUUGGCAUGUCUGACUGACUGAUACUGGUGACAAAAAUAUGGAGAGGAUCUAGCAGAUGACAGUUCCUAGAUGCAAGUCUUCAGAGAAGACAUGCAUCCCAUCAACACAGAGUAUCACAUCAACACAGACUACACACAGCUGAGAAUGAGCUGCUGCAUCUGUCACCUCUGCUCAGUGGUGCAAUUUGCUAGUGCAAGCACCGUGCAAGCACGCAUUUGGAAGGGAGAAGGAAGAAUAGAAGGCAAACCUCCAGCCUACCCUCCCAGGCUUGCUCAUUCUGAGCUCCAUCUUUCUGUGAAGUAACUCACAGAAUCACAGAAUCAUAGGAUCGUUUGAAUUGGAAGGGACUUUUAAAGGUCAUCUAGUUCAACUCCCU